AGUACUAAAUGGACACUAUCUGAGGCUUAUUAAUUUUCACCUGAAUUCGUCAUCAUUCAUGGCAAUAAUAUAAAAUUGUUUCACUUCAGGAUUUCUGGUGGCGGAAGAGUUGUUUUUUUACUUAUAUUCUACGCAGUUGCUUGGAUUCCGCCGUAGUUUGGAGAAAUGAGCGGUGUCACGCGAUAACAUUUCCAAGAUUCAACUCACCUCAGCAGAUGGAUGGUAUUUGAGCGCCUAGCAAGGUUUAAAGUGACAUUUACCACGCUAUCCAUGGACGUAUUGGCAACAGAGAAGUGUUUCGCAGAAGUAGCAACAUAACGAAAAACUUUCCUGAUGCAAAUUCGCUAAGUACUCCAAGUGUGAAGCUUUCGAGUCAAUGUCAGUAUCAGAGCAACCAUGAUAGAUGGGACUGAAUUAGGGGAGAGGCAGGUACAUCAGAAGGAUCAUACAGGCUUGAACUAGAACCACAUAAAAUUAGGGAACGUGAUUGUAACACAGUUGCGGUUAGCGUCAAUCCUUGUUUGGAUGCCAUGAUUCCUGCAUUAUUCAGUAGUUACUCUUAAUCUAUUUGAUGAUGAUCAGUGUAAUUGAUCAGUGGCUAUUCGUCGGCUACAGUCAUA